GCAAGUCGAACGGUAGAGAUCCUUCGGGAUCUUGAGAGUGGCGAACGGGUGAGUAACACGUAGAUGAUCUGCCUUGAAGUUGGGGAUAGCCCAUAGAAAUAUGGGGUAAUACCGAAUAAUACCUUAUGGCUUUGGCUAUUUGGUGAAAGGGGCUUCGGCCUCGCUUUAAGAUGAGUCUGCGGCUUAUUAGCUAGUUGGUAGGGUAAAGGCCUACCAAGGCGACGAUAAGUAGCCGGCCUGAGAGGGUGACC
rnacentral:rRNA from 1 species